GUUGUAGCUCAGUGGUAGAGCGCUUGCUUUGCAUGCAUGAGGCACUGGGUUCAAUCCUUGGCAUCACA
rnacentral:tRNA from 1 species